rnacentral:tRNA from 1 species
CGCAAUGUAGCUCAAUGGCAGAGCGCAAGACCGAUAAUCUUGAAACGAAAGUCCGAUUCUUUCCAUUGCGA